GCAAUAUUAGCUGCAAUUGUAACAGCUCUGAAGUCUGAUCAAAGUCCAACUUACAGUCAAAUUACUUGGAUGUCAUUUACUGAUUUGAGAAAUACAUGGAGUGAUUUCCCAAGGCAGUACACAGAGGAAUACGAGCAAUGUAUCGAGACUAUUCUAUCAGCGAAUAAAGGAAGAUUUUUCAAGAGUGCAGGAGAUAUCGUAGAAGUAAGAUUUGCUCAGACCGUAAUGGUUGUAACCUGCGAAUGGGCAUGGUGGCUGAGGCAACAUAUCUGCAUAAGAGAGUCCAUGUUCUAUCAAUGGUCCAAUCAAUGGAUAGCAUUGUGAGGUUGAAGAAGAAGAAAGGAAGCUUGAAGCUGAAGAAACAGAGAAGCAGUGCUCGAAAGUAAACACUGAACUGAAAGAAUAGGAGAUUAAAUCCAACCGUUUUAAAGAGUUGGAGGAGAGGUAGCCAAAUCUUAGUUUCCAAGGGGAAUAUAUCUUAUGAACAGUAAUAUAUCGUAUGAUGAUUAAUGUUCUUUAGUUUCCAAGGGGAAGUGUUGUGUUUUAGAUUUAAGUAUCACGUUACACUUUGUUUCAGGUACUGGAAUGAGUUCAAUAGCUUCCGGUUUCAACUAAUAUCACAUAAGGUUAACCAGCAUGAGGACGAAGAUAAUAGGCGUGUCUUCUUUCAUGGAGAUCUCAACCAACAUCUUUAAAAACGGGAGAUUACCGCCUUUUAACUCGAUUGAUGCAGUGAGGUUUAAAGAGGAGAUAAAAAGGUGUGCGAGAGGUGUUAUGAGAUAUGCAGACUAUUGUAGUAGCUCUUGUGAUCUACAUAAGGAUGGUGGUUUGGUGAAUGUUUUUUCAACUCAAAAUAUGGAAAUGAAGGUGGAAAUCUUUGUGUAAUUGAAUUUUUUUCGCUCAGCGCCUUUUCCCGAGGUUUUCUCCCCUAAUUGCUCUUCUUGUUUGCUAAUUUUGUUUUGACAACUGAUUUCAAU